rnacentral:rRNA from 1 species
UACGGAGGAUGCGAGCGUUAUCCGGAUUUAUUGGGUUUAAAGGGUGCGUAGGCGGGAUGCCAAGUCAGCGGUAAAAAUGCGGUGCUCAACGCCGUCGAGCCGUUGAAACUGGCGUUCUUGAGUGGGCGAGAAGUAUGCGGAAUGUGUGGUGUAGCGGUGAAAUGCAUAGAUAUCACGCAGAACCCCGAUUGCGAAGGCAGCAUGCCGGCUUCCGACUGACGCUGAAGCACGAAAGCGUGGGGAUCGAACAGG